UACCAGCACCCCGAGUGGUCGGGACGAUUAUUGGGCCUAAAGCAUCCGUAGCCGGUUCUACAAGUCUUCCGUUAAAUCCACCUGCUUAACAGAUGGGCUGCGGAGGAUACUAUAGAGCUAGGAGGCGGGAGAGGCAAGCGGUACUUAGUGGGUAGGGGUAAAAUCCGUUGAUCCAUUGAAGCCCCCCAGUGGCGAAGGCGGCUUGCCAGAACGCACUCGACGGUGAGGGAUGAAAGCUGGGGAGCAAACCGG
rnacentral:rRNA from 1 species